AAGGAAUAUUGGACAAUGGGCGAAAGCCUGAUCCAGCGACACCGCGUGGGGGAAGAAGGCCCUCGGGUUGUAAACCCCUUUUCCCGGGGAAGAAAAAUGACGGUACCUGRKGAAUAAGCCCCGGCUAACUACGUGCCAGCAGCCGCGGUAAUACGUAGGAGGCGAGCGUUAUCCGGAUUUACUGGGCGUAAAGCGGGCGUAGGCGGCCUGUCAAGUCGGAUGUGAAAUCUCCCGGCUUAACUGGGAGGGUGCAUUCGAUACUGAUGGGCUAGAGUGCAGCAGAGGGAAGUGGAAUUCCCGGUGUAGUGGUGAAAUGCGUAGAUAUCGGGAAGAACACUAGUGGCGAAGGCGGCUUCCUGGGCUGUAACUGACGCUGAGGUCCGAAGGCGUGGGUAGCAAACAGGAUUAGAUACCCUGGUAGUCCACGCAGUAAACGAUGGAUACUAGGUAUAGGGAGUAUCGACCCUCUCUGUGCNRAANAACGCUUUAAGUAUCCC
rnacentral:rRNA from 1 species